rnacentral:rRNA from 1 species
UGGGGAAUUUUCCGCAAUGGGGGCAACCCUGACGGAGCAAGACCGCGUGAGGGAGGAAGGCCUACUGGUUGUAAACCUCUUUUGAUAGGGAAGAACGAAAUGACGGUACCUAUCGAAUCAGCACCGGCUAACUCCGUGCCAGCAGCCGCGGUAAUACGGAGGGUGCAAGCGUUAUCCGGAAUUAUUGGGCGUAAAGCGUCCGUAGGUGGUUAAUCAAGUCAGUUGUUAAAGCGUGGAGCUAAACUCCAUAAGGGCAAUUGAAACUGGUUGGCUAGAGUGCGAUAGGGGCAAGGGGAAUUCCCAGUGUAGCGGUGAAAUGCGUAGAUAUUGGGAAGAACAUCGGUGGCGAAAGCGCCUUGCUGGGUCUGCACUGACACUGAGGGACGAAAGCUAGGGGAGCGAAAGGGAUUAGAUACCCCUGUAGUCCUAGCUGUAAACGAUGGGUACUAGGCGUUGUCCGUAUCGACCCGGGCAGUGCCGUAGCUAACGCGUUAAGUACCCCGCCUGGGGAGUACGCUCGCAAGAGUAG